rnacentral:rRNA from 1 species
UACGGAGGGUGCAAGCGUUAUCCGGAUUCACUGGGUUUAAAGGGGGCGUAGGUGGGUUGGUAAGUCAGUGGUGAAAUCCCCGAGCUUAACUUGGGAACUGCCAUUGAUACUAUUAGUCUUGAAUACUGUGGAGGUUAGCGGAAUAUGUCAUGUAGCGGUGAAAUGCUUAGAUAUGACAUAGAACACCAAUUGCGAAGGCAGCUGGCUACACAAAUAUUGACACUGAGGCUCGAAAGCGUGGGGAUCAAACAGG